rnacentral:rRNA from 1 species
ACGAAUGGGGCAAGCGUUGUUCGGAAUCACUGGGCUUAAAGCGUAUGCAGGCGACCGCGCAAGUCAGAAGUGAAAUCCCUGGGCUUAACCCAGGAAUUGCUUUUGAAACUGCACGGCUAGAAUCCCGGAGAGGUUAACAGAAUUCCGAGUGUAGAGGUGAAAUUCGCAGAUAUUCGGAGGAAUACCAGUGGCGCAAGCGGUUAACUGGACGGGCAUUGACGCUCAGAUACGAAAGCAUGGGGAGCAAACAGGA